UACAGAGGGUGCAAGCGUUGCUCGGAAUCAUUGGGCGUAAAGGGCAGGUAGGUGGUCUCAUUUGUCUGGGGUGAAAGCCUUGAGCUUAACUCAAGAAGUGCCCCGGAAACGGUGAGACUAGAGUACUGGAGAGGGUCGUGGAAUUCCCGGUGUAGCGGUGAAAUGCGUAGAGAUCGGGAGGAACACCAGAGGCGAAGGCGGCGACCUGGACAGUUACUGACACUCAACUGCGAAAGCGUGGGGAGCAAACAGG
rnacentral:rRNA from 1 species